rnacentral:rRNA from 1 species
GAUCAUGGCUCAGAACGAACGCUGGUGGCGUGUCUAUACAUGCAAGUCGAGCGAGGCAGCAAUGCCGAGCGGCGAACGGGUGAGUAACGCGUAAGCAAUCUGCCCCAUAUCAGGAAAUACCCGUGCCAACGCGCGGUUAAUGUCCAGGAGAGUGGCCCUCUGCAUGGAGGGUUGACUAGAGAUUUAUCGGUAUGGGAUGAGCUUGCGUCCGAUUAGCUAGUUGGCGGGGCAACGGCCCACCAAGGCGACGAUCGGUAGCCGGCCUGAGAGGGUGAUCGGCCACAUUGGGACUGAGAUACGGCCCAGACUCCUACGGGAGGCAGCAGUAGGGAAUAUUGCACAAUGGGGGAAACCCUGAUGCAGCAACGCCACGUGUGGGAAGAAGCAUUUCGGUGUGUAAACCACUGUCAUGAGGGAAUAAGGCCCUUAUUCGUAAGGGAUUGAAUGUACCUUGAGAGGAAGCACCGGCAAACUUCGUGCCAGCCGCAGC